rnacentral:lncRNA from 1 species
CUGCGUUGGAGGAUCCGAGCAGAUCUCAUCAUCAGUUGGGAUGGACGAUUGCCGAAGGUGAAGAUGUUUGAUGAUGGAUGACGGUUAUUUUCCACAUCUAUGGUUGUUUUUAACUGCCAAUCUCCAUGGUUUGAUUUAAGUAUGUGAGUCUUGCUGUUUUCUUUUGUAUGAUGAUGAUGACCACGAUUAUUCCCACAUUUUGUAUUCUUUUUAACUAGUUGAAUUCUUUUGCAAUAUUUGCCAGAAAUUCCUUUUUUUUAAUCAAGAAAAUAGAUCUUCGCUCCAUGUAAGCAUUCAAUAUGUUUUGUCAAGAUUAGUGGCAUUAAUUGUAGCUGUUACAAUACUUCAACUUAAUUCAGACGAGUACCUUGGUAUUGGGAUCCAACAUCUCAAGUAUUUAUGAAUGAACCAAUACUUUAUAACAAUUAACCAUUGAUUCUUUCUUUCACUCGACAAAGAGCAUAUGAACCAUUAAUCAUGUGAAAGCAACGUUCACACUCCUACCAUCUCUUUGCUCUCUCGCAUGUUCUGAUAUACACAUCCCGAAACAAACGUGAUCAAAGAAGAGAGAGAGACUGUGUUAGUAUCAAGGUGGUGCAGCUCAUUAUGGUUGAGCAAACUUUCACUAGAGAAAACAAACUUUUUACAUGAGGUCGAAACAAACACUUCACUUCACUUGGGAUUUGGGAGAUUCUCGAGAGCUUCGCUGGAGAAAUCUCUGCCGGGCUGAGGCACUUGCUCGUGUGGAAGACCCUUCACUGUUACUCUCUCCCCAUCUUUUUUCUCUUUGUUUUUCUUUAUUUCUUCUUCUUCUUCUUCUUCUUCUUCUUCUUGUCUUGUUUUCUCAGCUUCUCCUUUCUCCUUACUCUUCUUCUCCAUCUUUCUUACCACCCAAACAUUCAUGUCUUCUCUCUCUCUCAUACUUAUCAACUAAAACAAGGAUGAUGAAACAAACAGAUUAUGCCACGUUUCAGCUGGGUGGCACAACGUGUUGCCGCUUCACAUUUCACACGUACUAGUGGAUUUGAAAGCAUUCACACGUGUUGUAUUGUAGGUCAACCCUUUGACCAUGAGGGCAUUAGGUACUGAGAACAUUAGGUGAAAGCUUUGGUCCACAAGGCCUUUAACAAAGUGAGCUUUGAUCAUCAGUCAUGUGCCAGUUAACAUCUGAAAAGAAGAAUCUAUAUGAACUACUCUAACGGUGAAUUGGUUUGUGCUAUAUCUCUG